rnacentral:rRNA from 1 species
CGAAAUUUAGUAGCGAAGUAGCUGAUUUCACACUGUCAAGAAAAGUCUCUAUCGAGGUUAAAGGUACCCGUACCGCAAACCGACACAGGUGGGUGAGGAGAGUAUCCUAAGGCCAGCGAGAGAACUGUUGUUAAGGAACUCGGCAAAAUGACCCCGUAACUUAGGGAUAAGGGGUGCCACCAUCAGGUGGCCGCAGAGAAUAGGCCCAAGCGACUGUUUACCAAAAACAUAGGUUUCUGCUAAGUCGCAAGACGAUGUAUAGGAGCUGACGCCUGCCCGGUGCUGGAAGGUUAAGGGGAUCUGUUAGAGCAAUCGAAGCAGUGAACUUAAGCCCCAGUAAACGGCGGCCGUAACUAUAACGGUCCUAAGGUAGCGAAAUUCCUUGUCGGGUAAGUUCCGACCCGCACGAAAGGCGUAACGAUUUGGGCACUGUCUCAACAACAGACUCGGUGAAAUUGUAAUUCCGGUGAAGAUGCCGGAUACCUGCGACAGGACGGAAAGACCCCAUGGAGCUUUACUGUAGCUUGACAUUGGGUCUUGGUACUACAUGUACAGGAUAGGUGGGAGGCUUUGAAACCAGGACGCCAGUUUUGGCGGAGCCAUCCUUGGGAUACCACCCUUGUA